UAUGGUGGUUUUUCCGAGGGUGUUCACCUCUUCCCUUUCCGAACAGAGAAGUUAAGCCCCUUAUGGCCGAUGGUACUGCAAUACUAUGUGGGAGAGUAGGUAGCCGCCAUUC
rnacentral:rRNA from 1 species